rnacentral:rRNA from 1 species
AACUAACGCUGGCGGCGUGCCUAACACAUGCAAGUCGUACGAGAAAGUUGGCUUCGGCCGAUGAGUAAAGUGGCGCACGGGUGAGUAACGCGUGGAUAAUCUACCCUUCAGUUGGGAAUAACGUACCGAAAGGUGCGCUAAUACCGGAUAAUACUGCACAACUACUGUUGUGUAGUCAAAGAUGGCCUCUGCUUGCAAGCUUUCGCUGAAUGAUGAGUCCGCGUACCAUUAGCUAGUUGGUAGGGUAAUGGCCUACCAAGGCAACGAUGGUUAGCUGGUCUGAGAGGAUGAUCAGCCACACUGGAACUGAGACACGGUCCAGACUCCUACGGGAGGCAG